AAGCGGAGGAAAAGAAACUAACAAGGAUUCCCCUAGUAACGGCGAGCGAAGCGGGAAGAGCUCAAAUUUGAAAGCUGGCGUCUUCGGCGUCCGCGUUGUAAUCUCGAGACGUGUUUUCCGUGCGGCUCUAUGGACAAGUCCCUUGGAACAGGGCAUCGUAGAGGGUGAAAAUCCCGUACUUGCCAUGGAAGUACCGUGCUUUGUGAUACACGCUCCAAGAGUCGAGUAGUUUGGGAUUGCUGCUCAAAGUGGGUGGUAGACUCCAUCUAAAGCUAAAUAUCGGGGAGAGACCGAUAGCGAACAAGUACCGUGAGGGAAAGAUGAAAAGCACUUUGGAAAGAGAGUUAAAAGUACGUGAAAUUGUCGAAAGGGAAGCACUUGAAGUCAGCCAUGCUGCUUGAGACUCAGCCUGGCUUUUGCUUGGUGUAUUUCUCGGUAGCAAGCCAGCAUUGGUUUGUGUCGUCGGAGAAGCGUAUGGGGAAUGUGGCAUCCUCGGAUGUGUUAUAGCCCUGUGCAGGAUACGACGACGUAGACCAAGGAACGCAGUGUGCCCUCUGGGCGGGUCUUCGGACACCUUCACACUUAKGAUG
rnacentral:rRNA from 1 species